AACGAACGCUGGCGGCAGGCUUAACACAUGCAAGUCGAGCGAGGUAGCAAUACCUAGCGGCGGACGGGUGAGUAACGCGUAGAAAUCUGCCCUGAGGUCUGGAAUAACACAUGGAAACGUGUGCUAAUGCCGGAUAUACCCGAGAGGGGAAAGCUUUAGUGCCUUAGGAUGAGUCUGCGUCGGAUUAGCUUGUUGGUGGGGUAAAAGCCCACCAAGGCAACGAUCCGUAGCUGGUCUGAGAGGAUGGCCAGCCACACUGGACUGAGACACGGCCCAGACUCCUACGGGAGGCAGCAGUGGGGAAUCUUGGACAAUGGGGGAAACCCUGAUCCAGCCAUGCCGCGUGAAUGAAGAAGGCCUUCGGGUUGUAAAGUUCUUUCAGUGGGGAUGAUAAUGACCGUACCCACAGAAGAAGCUCCGGCUAACUCCGUGCCAGCCGCCGCUGUAA
rnacentral:rRNA from 1 species